rnacentral:rRNA from 1 species
CUACGUGCCAGCAGCCGCGGUAAUACGGAAGGUCCAGGCGUUAUCCGGAUUUAUUGGGUUUAAAGGGAGCGUAGGCGGAUUGUUAAGUCAGCGGUUAAAGGGUGUGGCUCAACCAUACAUUGCCGUUGAAACUGGCGAUCUUGAGUGCAGACAGGGAUGCCGGAAUUCGUGGUGUAGCGGUGAAAUGCUUAGAUAUCACGAAGAACUCCGAUCGCGAAGGCAGGUGUCCGGGCUGCAACUGACGCUGAGGCUCGAAAGUGUGGGUAUCAAACAGGAUUAGAUACCCUGGUAGUCCACACAGUAAACGAUGUAUACUCGCGGUUUGCGAUAGACAGUAAGCCGCCAAGCGAAAGCAUUAAGUAUACCACCUGGGGAGUACGCCGGCAACGGUGAAACUCAAAGGAAUUGACGGGGGCCCGCACAAGCGGAGGAACAUGUGGUUUAAUUCGAUGAUACGCGAGGAACCUUACCCGGGCUUGAACUGCAGCUGAACGAUUCAGAGA